GAUGAACGCUGGCGGCGUGCCUAAUACAUGCAAGUCGAGCGAACAGACGAGGAGCUUGCUCCUCUGACGUUAGCGGCGGACGGGUGAGUAACACGUGGAUAACCUACCUAUAAGACUGGGAUAACUUCGGGAAACCGGAGCUAAUACCGGAUAAUAUAUUGAACCGCAUGGUUCAAUAGUGAAAGACGGUUUUGCUGUCACUUAUAGAUGGAUCCGCGCCGCAUUAGCUAGUUGGUAAGGUAACGGCUUACCAAGGCAACGAUGCGUAGCCGACCUGAGAGGGUGAUCGGCCACACUGGAACUGAGACACGGUCCAGACUCCUACGGGAGGCAGCAGUAGGGAAGCUUCCGCAAAGGGCGAAAGCUUGACGGAGCAACGCCGCGUGAGUGAUGAAGGUCUUCGGAUCGUAAAACUCUGUUAUUAGGGAAGAACAAAUGUGUAAGUAACUAUGCACGUCUUGACGGUACCCAAUCAGAAAGCCACGGCUAACUACGUG
rnacentral:rRNA from 1 species